AAACUAAAAAUAGCUCAACAUUUAAAUAUCUCUAAACUAUUUUACAGAUAAGACAAAACAUUUAUUAUAAUUAAAGUACUAGGCGAUAGAAAUUCUACUUGACGCUAUAGAGAAAGUACCGCAAGGGAAAACUGAAAGAAAACCACAAGUAAAAAACAGCAAAGCUUAAGACUUGUACCUUUUGCAUAAUGAUUUAACUAGAAUAUAUUAGCAAAAAGAAUUAAAGUUAAGUAACCCGAAACCAGACGAGCUACCUAUCAGCAGCCUAAAGAGCAAACUCGUCUAUGUGGCAAAAUAGUGAGAUGACUGAUAGGUAGUGGCGACAAACCUACCGAGCCUGGUGAUAGCUGGUUGUCCAGGACUGAAUUUUAGUUCUAAAUUAAGUUUACCAAAAAACAAAUAAAUUAUACUGUAAACUUAAAUAGUAAUCUAAAAAGGUACAGCCUUUUAGACACGGGAUACAACCCCUAUUAGAGAGUAAAUUUUUAAUAAACCACAAUAGUUGGCCUAAAAGCAGCCACCAACUAAGAAAGCGUUCAAGCCCAACAGAAAAAAAACUUAAUUUCACAAUAAAAUUAAACUCCCAAUAUAUAACUGGACUAUUCUAUUUCUAAUUAGAAGUAAUAAUGUUAAUAUGAGUAACAAGAAAAAAUUUUCUCCUUGCACAAACGUAUAUCAGAACGAAUAAAUCACUGACAGUUAUCAAAACUAGCAUAUUAAUAAUUAAUCCCCUCAAUACCAAUUGUUAAUCCAACACAGGAGUGCAAAUACCCCAAAGGAAAGAUUAAAAAAAGUAAAAGGAAUUCAGCAAACACAAACCUCGCCUGUUUACCAAAAACAUCACCUCUAGCAUAAAAAGUAUUAGAGGCACUGCCUGCCCAGUGACUUCAGUUUAACGGCCGCGGUAUCCUGACCGUGCAAAGGUAGCAUAAUCAUUUGUUCUCUAAAUAAGGACUCGUAUGAAUGGCUCCACGAGGGUUUUGCUGUCUCUUACUUUAGAUCAGUGAAAUUGACAUCCCCGUGAAGAGGCGGGAAUAAAAAAAUAAGACGAGAAGACCCUAUGGAGCUUUAACUAAUUAACUCAUUAAACCCUAGUCCACUCUCUACAAGAAAUAAACCACUUUUAAUUGAGUUAACAGUUUAGGUUGGGGUGACCUCGGAAUAAAAAUUAACCUCCGAGAAAAAUUAUUAAGACCUACAAGUCAAAAUUACUACACUACACACUGAUCCGCCACUGGCGAUCAACGAAACAAGUUACCCUAGGGAUAACAGCGCAAUCCUAUUUAAGAGUCCAUAUCGACAAUCAGGGUUUACGACCUCGAUGUUGGAUCAGGACAUCCCAAUGGUGCAGCAGCUAUUAAUGUGUUCGUUUGUUCAACGAUUAAAGUCCUACGUGAUCUGAGUUCAGACCGGAGUAAUCCAGGUCGGUUUCUAUCUAUUCAUAAGUUUCUCCCAGUACGAAAGGACCAGAGAAACAAGGCCCACUUAUAAUAAGCGCCCUAACAAAACAGAUGAACUAAUCUUAAUCUUAUAUAAUAUAUUAAUCACCUUAGAUAAAGGGUCAA
rnacentral:rRNA from 1 species